rnacentral:sRNA from 3 species
GAAUCCUGCACGACCCACCAAUCGUUCGGUGGAAACGAGAAUAAAACGUGAAGGAUAACGUUGCGUCAGCAACGGCCCGUAGGGCGAGGCGAAGCCGAGUCAUCCUGCACGACCCACCA